rnacentral:tRNA from 1 species
GGCCCGUUCGUAUAGCGGUGAGUACGUCAGAUUUUCAUUCUGAAAACAGGGUUUCGACUACCCUACGGGCUA